rnacentral:tRNA from 1 species
GGCCCUGUCGUCUAGUCCGGUCUAGGACACCAGAUUCUCAAUCUGAUAACACGGGUUCAAAUCCCGUCAGGGCUG